rnacentral:lncRNA from 1 species
AUUUAGAAUAGCGGACAAAACUCUGCCAUCGAUUGAACAGUUCUACCUCCCCGCAAAAAAAAUUCAAGCCAAUCAAUCUCUUCUCUACUUAUCUCUACUUACUUAUUACUUAUUUACUUAUUACUCCCUCCGUCCGGGUUUAUUAGGCCUAAAGACAACUUCUCUUAGACCAAGACACAUAGUAAAUUGCUCACAUUAAUUCUUCCAUUCCACUCCCAAUGCACUCUCUCACAUGCAUGCAGCCAAUGAAGAAAUAUGCAUGAAGUGAAUUAAUUUCCCAGCCAUGGCACCAACAACAAUGGCUUUCAAUACAACCAAUGAAAUGGUUGCAUGCAUGCACCUUUCCAAAGCAAGGCCUUAUAAAAAGGGACAUGCUUGUGAUGCUGAGAGGCCUAAUAAACCCGGACGGAGGGAGUACUAUUAAACAAGCAAACAUAUUCUUCACUAUGCCCACCCAGGUAAACGUACACAGGGAAAAACAAGACAAACUACCACCCCAAGAUUAGGCAUCUAACCGUCCAGAUUAAAGUCAGGCCCCACCUGUGUGCGUUUAGCAAU